rnacentral:lncRNA from 1 species
GGGUCCCCAAGCUGGAGGACCCCAAGACCGUGGAUUCCAAGGUCCCAAAGACCAUGUCCCCAAGGUCCCCGAGGUGGUGACACCAAGGACCUGGAGCUCAUGUCCCCAAGGUCCCCAAGCUGGAGGACCCCAAGGUCCCCAAGACCAUGGACUCCAAGGUCCCAAAGCUCAUGUCCCCAAGGUCCCCAAGGUGACGUCUCCUGGGGGUCCUCAAGCUGGGGAACCUCAAGGUCCCCAAGACCAUGUCCCCAAGGUCCCCGAGGUGGCAGUUCCUGGGGGUCCUCAACCUGGAGGACCCCAAGACCAUGGACCCCAAGGUCCCAAAGUCCAUGUCCCCAAGGUCCCCAAGGUGGUGGCCUCUUGGGUCCUGCAGCUGGGGGACCCCAAGGUCCCCAGAGUCCAGGAGGUGACGUCCCCGAGGUGGUGUUUCCUGGGGGUCCCCAAGCUGGAGGUCCCCAAGACCAUGGACUCCAAGGUCCUGGAGCUCAUGUCCCCAAGGUCCCCAAGGUGACGUCUCCUGGGGGUCCUCAAGCUGGAGGAACCCAAGGUCCCCAAGGUCCCCGAGGUGGUGGCUUCAUGGGUCCUGCAGCUGGGGGGCCCCAAGGUUCUUGGCCCCAAUGUCCCCAACCUGGAGGACCCCAAGGUCCCCAAGACCAUGUCCCCAAGGUCCCCAAGGUGGUGGCCUCGGGGGUCCCCAAGAUCCCCAGAGUCCAGGAGGUGACGUCCCCACGGUGGCGUUUCCUGGGGGUCCUCAAGCUGGAGGACCCCAAGGUUCUUGACACCGAUGUCCCCGAGGUCCCCGAGGUGGAGGAACCCAAGGUCCCCAAGGUGGUGGCCUCUCGGGUCCUGGAGCUGGUGGACCCCAAGGUCCCCAGAGUCCAGGAGGUGACGUCCCCAAGGUGGUGUCUCCUGGGGGUCCUCAAGCUGGGGGACCCCAAGGUUCUUGUCCCCGAGGUCCCCAAGGUCCCCAAGGUGGCAUCUCCUGAGGGUCCUCAAGCUGGAGGACCCCAAGACCAUGGACUCCAAGGUCCCCAAGACCAUGUCCCCAAGGUCCCCAAGGUGGUGACACCAAGGUCCUGGAGCUCAUCAUGUCCCUGGUGUCCCCAAGGUGGUGGCCCCUUGGGUCCAGGAGCUGGGGGACCCCAAGGUUCUUGUCCCCGAUGUCCCCAAGGUCCCUGAGGUGACGUCUCCUGGGGGUCCUCAAGCUGGAGGACCCCAAGGUCCCCAAGGUGGCAGUUCCUGGGGGUCCUGGAGCUGGAGGACCCCAAGACCAUGGACUCCAAGGUCCUGGAGCUCAUGUCCCCAAGGUCCCCAAGGUCCCCGAGGUGGUGGCCUCUUGGGUCCUCAAGCUGAUGGACCCCAAGGUUCUUGGCACCGAUGUCCCUGAGGUACCCAAGGUGGAGGACCCCAAGGUCCCCAAGACCAUGGACUCCAAGGUCCUGGAGCUCAUGUCCCCAAGGUCCCCGAGGUGGUGGCCUCUUGGGUCCCCGAGCCCAUGUCCCUGGAGUCCAGGAGGUGACGUCCCCGAGGUGGUGACACCAAGGACCUGGAGCUCAUGUCCCUGGUGUCCCCAAGGUGGUGGCUUCGGGGGUCCUGCAGCUGGAGGACCCCAAAGUCCUGGAACCCCUGUCCCCAAGGUCCCCGAGGUCCCCAAGGUGCCCAAGGUGGCAGUUCCUGGGGGUCCCCAACCUGGAGGACCCCAAGACCAUGGACUCCAAGGUCCCAGAGCUCAUGUCCCCAAGGUCCCCAAAGUCCCCAAGGUCCCUGAGGUCCCCAAGGUGGCAUCUCCUGAGGGUCCCCAACCUGGAGGACCCCAAGACUGUGGACCCCAAGGUCCUGGAGCUGGUGACCCCAAGGUCCCCAAGGUCCCCAAGGUGGUGGCCUCAGGGGUCCUCAAGCUGGUGGACCCCAAAGUUCUUGUCCCCGAUGUCCCCAAGGUCCCCGAGGUGGCAUCUCCUGGGGGUCCUCAAGCUGGUGGACCCCAAGACCAUGGACUCCAAGGUCCUGGAGCUGGUGACCCCAAGGUCCCCGAGGUCCCUGAGGUCCCUGGUGUCCCCAAGGUGGCAUCUCCUGAGGGUCCCCAACCUGGAGGACCCCAAGACCAUGGACCCCAAGGUCCUGGAGCCCCCAUCCCCAAGGUCCCCAAGGUGGUGGCUUCAGGGGUCCAGGAGCUGGGGGA